rnacentral:rRNA from 1 species
UACGUAGGUGGCAAGCGUUGUCCGGAAUUAUUGGGCGUAAAGCGCGCGCAGGCGGUCCUUUAAGUCUGAUGUGAAAGCCCACGGCUCAACCGUGGAGGGUCAUUGGAAACUGGGGGACUUGAGUGCAGAAGAGGAGAGUGGAAUUCCACGUGUAGCGGUGAAAUGCGUAGAGAUGUGGAGGAACACCAGUGGCGAAGGCGACUCUCUGGUCUGUAACUGACGCUGAGGCGCGAAAUCGUGGGGAGCAAACAGG